rnacentral:rRNA from 1 species
UACAGAGGUCCCAAGCGUUGUUCGGAUUCACUGGGCGUAAAGGGUGCGUAGGUGGUGAGGUAAGUCGGAUGUGAAAUCUCCAAGCUCAACUUGGAAACUGCAUUGGAAACUGCCUUGCUUGAGGAUUUGAGGGGGGAUUGGAAUACUUGGUGUAGCAGUGAAAUGCGUAGAUAUCAAGUGGAACACCAGUGGCGAAGGCGAAUCCCUGGAAAAUACCUGACACUGAGGCACGAAAGCUAGGGGAGCAAACAGG